rnacentral:tRNA from 1 species
GGCCCGUUAGUCAAGAGGCCUAAGACGCCGGCCCUUCAAGCCGGUAACAGGGGUUCGAAUCCCCUACGGGCCA